GACGUAGGGGACGAGCGUUGUCCGGAAUUAUUGGGCGUAAAGGGCUCGUAGGCGGUUUGUCGCGUUGUUCGUGAAAACUCACAGCUUAACUGUGGGCGUGCGGGCGAUACGGGCAGACUGGAGUACUGCAGGGGAGACUGGAAUUCCGUGUAGCGGUGGAAUGCGCAGAUAUCAGGAGGAACACCGGUGGCGAAGGCGGGUCUCUGGGCA
rnacentral:rRNA from 1 species